UUUAAAAGACCUAGCAAUAGGUAUGCUUAGGGAGGAGCUUGCGUCACAUUAGUUAGUUGGUGGGGUAAAGGCCUACCAAGACUAUGAUGUGUAGCUGGGCUGAGAGGUUGAACGGCCACAUUGGGACUGAGACACGGCCCAAACUCCUACGGGAGGCAGCAGUAGGGAAUUUUCGGCAAUGGAGGAAACUCUGACCGAGCAACGCCGCGUGAACGAUGAAGUAUUUCGGUACGUAAAGUUCUUUUAUUAGGGAAGAAUAAAUGAUGGAAAAAUCAUUCUGACAGUACCUAAUGAAUAAGCCCCGGCUAACUAUGUGCCAGCAGCCGCGGUAAUACAUAGGGGGCAAGCGUUAUCCGGAAUUAUUGGGCGUAAAGGGUGCGUAGGCGGUUAAAUAAGUUUAUGGUCUAAGUGCAAUGCUCAACAUUGUGAUGCUAUAAAAACUGUUUAGCUAGAGUAAGAUAGAGGCAAGUGGAAUUCCAUGUGUAGUGGUAAAAUGCGUAAAUAUAUGGAGGAACACCAGUAGCGAAGGCGGCUUGCUGGGUCUUUACUGACGCUGAGGCACGAAAGCGUGGGGAGCAAACAGGAUUAGAUACCCUGGUAGUCCACGCCGUAAACGAUGAGUACUAAACGUUGGGUAAAACCAGUGUUGAAGUUAACACAUUAAGUACUCCGCCUGAGUAGUACGUACGCAAGUAUGAAACUUAAAGGAAUUGACGGGACUCCGCACAAGCGGUGGAUCAUGUUGUUUAAUUCGAAGGUACCCGAAAAACCUCACCAGGUCUUGACAUGCUUCUGCAAAGCUGUAGAAACACAGUGGAGGUUAUCAGUUGCACAGGUGGUGCAUGGUUGUCGUCAGCUCGUGUCGUGAGAUGUUGGGUUAAGUCCCGCAACGAGCGCAACCCUU
rnacentral:rRNA from 1 species